rnacentral:pre_miRNA from 7 species
UUUCCGGAUUCCUGGGUGUCACGCAGAUCUCGGUGGGACCUCCAAAUGAAAGAGCCUAGUGAGGAAACCUCCACUCAAUUCUCGAUUUGGAGUGCACCCAAGAAUCAAGAACAGAACG